rnacentral:ribozyme from 1 species
UAAAUAUGAUCAAGCUCACUGUUCUCCUCGCCUUCAUGGGGAUAUUAAGCUUUGUUAAUGGUUUUCAAGCUCUUACUAG